CCACGGUAUCUGCACACAAACUCCACUAGCCACACAUGGCCAUUCAGUGCUAAAGCAGAACUGAUUGAAAUAUCAGAAGAUACAGGAGGAGAAGAACACAGAGCAGUUUCAGCACUAUUGCGGCGCCUUUGACUUCCCUGUUGAAGAAGGGAUCUAAAUGCCUUCACUGGACUCCCAUGGCUGAAGAGGUCUUCAGUAAGCUCAAGACUGCCUUCACCACAGCCCCAAUACUUCAACAUCCUGACCCAACCAGACCAUUCACGGUCGAGGUAGAUGCCUCUGAGACUGGUGUAGGAGGAAUCCUCUCACAGCACUUCAGCGAGAAACCCAAGCGCCACCAAGUAGCAUUCUUUUCAAAGAAGCUCACCUCUGCAGAGAGAAACUAUGACAUCAGGAAUAGAGAACUACUAGCUAUCAAGCUAGCUCUGGAAGAAUGGAGGCACUGGCUGGAGGGAGCCACACACCUCUUCAUCAUCCUAACAGACCAUAAGAACCUUGAAAAUCUCAAGAAGGCAAAGUGAUUCAAUCCAUGCCAAACCAGAUGGGCACUGUUUUUCACACACUUCCGCUUCACGAUAUCUUAUCACCUAGGCACCAAGAACACUAAGGCAGACACCCUGUCUCAGAUCUUCAGCUCAUCUCCUCUCCUCACAACCCUGAAUCUCAUCCCAUCCUAACACCCAAAUGUUUCAUCCAGGCAAUUACAUGGGACCUAGACAAGGAGAUAAGGGAUUCGCAACCUCAAACACCUCCAGAGAGCUGUCCACCUGGCCUCCUAUAUGUUCCAAACUGUGAUGUACUGGGAAUAAUACUGUUAUGCUCUGUGACAUCCAGUGGUAUGUGUGCACAUCAGUAAAUAA